CCAUUAUUGGCAUUUGCCAUAAUACUUUUCAUUACAGCGAUUUAAUUUUUGUAAGUUCGUUUUGUUGAUUUACACUCGCAAGUGCAGCAACGUAUUCAUCGUCGCCGAUUUGUAAUAAUAUGAGUAAUGUACCCAAUCAAAAUGGAUCAGGUCUAGAGCAGCAGUUUGCUGGUCUGGACUUGCAGGGCAAAUCACAGCCCAGUUCGGCUCCAAGUAAAUACGUUCCACCUCAUUUGAGGAACAAACCGGAUAAUUCCGGAGCAGUAGAACCAG